rnacentral:rRNA from 1 species
GGGUGCGAUCAUACCAGCACUAAUGCACCGGAUCCCAUCAGAACUCCGUAGUUAAGCGUGCUUGGGUGAGAGUAGUACUAGGAUGGGUGACCUCCUGGGAAGUCCUCGUGUUGCACCCCUC